GACGAACCGUGCGAACGUUGUUCGGAAUCACUGGGCUUAAAGGGCGCGUAGGCGGCUGUCAGAGUCGGGGGUGAAAUCGUUCGGCUUAACCGGACCACUGCCUUCGAUACCUGGCGGCUCGAGGGAGGUAGGGCAGAGGGAACUUCCGGUGGAGCGGUGAAAUGUGUUGAUAUCGGAAGGAACGCCGGUGGCGAAAGCGCUCUGCUGGACCUCUUCUGACGCUGAGGCGCGGAAAGCCAGGGA
rnacentral:rRNA from 1 species